rnacentral:rRNA from 1 species
ACAUUUCUAGCUUGCUAGAAGAUGACGAGCGGCGGACGGGUGAGUAAUGCUUGGGAACAUGCCUUGAGGUGGGGGACAACCGUUGGAAACGACGGCUAAUACCGCAUAAUCUCUACGGAGCAAAGGGGGCUUUUAGCUCUCGCCUUUAGAUUGGCCCAAGUGGGAUUAGCUAGUUGGUGAGGUAAUGGCUCACCAAGGCGACGAUCCCUAGCUGGUUUGAGAGGAUGAUCAGCCACACUGGAACUGAAACACGGUCCAGACUCCUACGGGAGGCAGCAGUGGGGAAUAUUGCACAAUGGGCGCAAGCCUGAUGCAUCCAUGCCGCGUGUGUGAAGAAGGCCUUAGGGUUGUAAAGCACUUUC